rnacentral:rRNA from 1 species
GCGUAACGCGUGAGCGACAUGCCCGUUGCCCGGGGACAACCGGUGGAAACGCCGACUAAUCCCCGAUGGGAUAUUGUGCCGCAUGGCACGAUAUUGAAAGUUACGGCGGCGACGGAUUGGCUCGCGUCCGAUUAGCUUGUUGGCGGGGUAACGGCCCACCAAGGCUACGAUCGGUAGGGGUUCUGAGAGGAAGGCCCCCCACAAUGGGACUGAGACACGGCCCAUACUUCUACGGGAGGCAGCAGUGAGGAAUAUUGGUCAAUGGGCGGAAGCCUGAACCAGCCAUGCCGCGUGCGGGAAGGAGGCCCUAUGGGCUGUGAACCGCUUUUGCCUGGGGGCAAUAAGGGCGUCGCGCACGCCCGAUGAGAGUACCAGGCGAAUAAGCAUCGGCUAACUCCGUGCCAGCAGCCGCGGUAAUACGGGGGAUGCGAGCGUUAUCCGGAUUCAUUGGGUUUAAAGGGUGCGUAGGCUGUGCGUCAAGUCGGGGGUGAAAUUCCGGUGCUCAACACCGGGGCUGCCCUUGAUACUGUCGCGCUGGAGUGCGGAUGCCGCCGGAGGAAUGAGUGGUGUAGCGGUGAAAUGCUUAGAUAUCACUCAGAACACCGAUUGCGAAGGCAUCUGGCGAAUCCGUAACUGACGCUGAGGCACGAAAGCGUGGG